GGAGGGCGCAAGCGUUGUUCGGAAUUACUGGGCGUAAAGGGCGGGCAGGCGGUCUGCUAAGUCUCCUGUGAAACUCCAGGGCUCAACCCCGGACAUGCAGAAGAAACUGGCAGACUAGAGACCGGUAGAGGCAAGCGGAAUUCCUGGUGUAGCGGUGGAAUGCGUAGAUAUCAGGAAGAACACCUGUGGCGAAGGCGGCUUGCUGGGCCGGAUCUGACGCUCAUCCGCGAAAGCGUGGGGGGAGCAAACAGGAUUAGAUACCCUGGUAGUCCACGCCCGUAAACGAUGGGCACUAGAUGCCGGGUUUAUAGACGAAUUCGGUGUCGCAGCUAACGCAAUAAGUGCCCCCCGCCUGGGGAGUACGGCCGCAAGGCUG
rnacentral:rRNA from 1 species